rfam:Pristionchus pacificus strain PS312 contig10564, whole genome shotgun sequence.
UCUUCAUUUCGCACACUCUCUCGCCCACUAGAGCGCCGAGAGAGUGUGCGAAAUGGAGAGA